CAAAUAAUAUCCAUCCUGACACCAAGAGCCCAUUAGAACCUUACGAUGUACUCAUCUGGAAUAAUCUUAGACCGCCACAGGAUUCCACAGAGAAUCCACAACCUGUCAGCUCUCCUUGAUCAAACCGCAAAUGUGUAAGAGAUCCUGGACUUCAUACUUAGGCAGAAGACCUCUCUUGCAAACCUACUUUGGCCACAUUCUCACCAAAAUGAAAUCAAAGGCUCUCCCUGUCACUGAGAGAAGACUGGAUUGGACAAUUUGAGCUCUAAAGUCACAGGGAAUGUUUCCACAUGAUCUCGGAAGAAAACUUAGAAUUGCAAAGGUGAAGGGGGGCCAACAAGCAACUGCAAAGACUCUGGAAUGGGAAGGAGUUCCUGGCUGAAGGACACACUGCGUGCCUGAGAGAAGAAACUCAAGUCUAUUUCUCCAUCAGUCUGGAAAUAGCUGACUGUGAGUGCCAAGGCACCUGGGGCUUCCAGGAGGCUUUGAGACUGGUACAGGUGGCAAGCCUAGUAGACCUGGCCUGCUUGUCGGGCAGUCUGUAGGAGAGGGUAGGAGCAAGAGAGACAAAAGGCACCCUGUUUCUAACUACAGAGUGUGAAGGGUCACGCAGCACGGAACUGUCCCUACUGAGUGGCCCAGAUGGGUCUCAUAUAAAACGCUGAUGCUACCAUUUCCCCCAGGAGGAUGAGCAAACCAGCCAGCCAACUCCUAGCAAGGAUGCUUGCA